rnacentral:rRNA from 1 species
GACGAACGCUGGCGGCGUGCUUAACACAUGCAAGUCGAGCGGAAAGGCCCUUCGGUGUUCUCGAGCGGCGAACGGGUGAGUAACACGUGAGUAACCUGCCCCAGACUUUGGGAUAACCCUCGGAAACGGGGGCUAAUACCGGUUACGACACAGCUUCGCAUGGGGUCUGUGUGGAAGGUUUUUCGGUUUGGGAUGGGCUGGCGGCCUACCAGCUGGUUGGUGGGGUGGUGGCGUACCAAGGCGACGACGGGUAGCCGGCCUGAGAGGGCGACCGGCCACAAUGGUACUGAGACACGGCCCAGACUACUACGGGAGGCAGCAGUGGGGAAUAUUGCACAAUGGGCGGAAGCCUGAUGCAGCGACGCCGCGUGGGGGAUGACGGCCUUCGGGUUGUAAACCUCUUUCAGCAGGGACGAAGCGUAAGUGACGGUACCUGCAGAAGAAGCGCCGGCUAACUACGUG